rnacentral:rRNA from 1 species
UACCAGCACCCCGAGUGGUCGGGACGAUUAUUGGGCCUAAAGCAUCCGUAGCCGGUUCUACAAGUCUUCCGUUAAAUCCACCUGCUUAACAGAUGGGCUGCGGAGGAUACUAUGGAGCUAGGAGGCGGGAGAGGCAAGCGGUACUUAGUGGGUAGGGGUAAAAUCCGUUGAUCCAGUGAAGACCACCAGUGGCGAAGGCGGCUUGCCAGAACGCACUCGACGGUGAGGGAUGAAAGCUGGGGGAGCAAACCGG